rnacentral:rRNA from 1 species
ACCCAAUUGGCCGGCCUGCUUACCAUGCAAGUCGAGCGGUAAGGCCCUUCGGGGUACACGAGCGGCGAACGGGUGAGUAACACGUGAGCAACCUGCCCCUGACUCCGGGAUAAGCGGUGGAAACGCCGUCUAAUACCGGAUACGACCUGUCACCUCAUGGUGGCGGGUGGAAAGUUUUUCGGUCGGGGAUGGGCUCGCGGCCUAUCAGCUAGUUGGUGGGGUAAAGGCCUACCAAGGCGAUUACGGGUAGCCGGCCUGAGAGGGCGACCGGCCACACUGGGACUGAGACACGGCCCAGACUCCUGCGGGAGGCAGCAGUGGGGAAUAUUGCGCAAUGGGCGAAAGCCUGACGCAGCGACGCCGCGUGGGGGAUGACGGCCUUCGGGUUGUAAACCUCUUUUACCACCAACGCAGGCUCCCAGUUCUCUGGGGGUUGACGGUAGGUGGGGAAUAAGGACCGGCUAACUACGUGCCAGCAGCCGCGGUAAUACGUAGGGUCCGAGCGUUGUCCGGAAUUAUUGGGCGUAAAGAGCUCGUAGGCGGCGUGUCGCGUCUGCUGUGAAAGACCGGGGCUUAACUCCGGUUCUGCAGUGGAUACGGGCAUGCUAGAGGUAGGUAGGGGAGACUGGAAUUCCUGGUGUAGCGGUGAAAUGCGCAGAUAUCAGGAGGAACACCGGUGGCGAAGGCGGGUCUCUGGGCCUUACCUGACGCUGAGGAGCGAAAGCAUGGGGAGCGAACAGGAUUAGAUACCCUGGUAGUCCAUGCCGUAAACGUUGGGCGCUAGGUGUGGGGACUUUCCACGGUUUCCGCGCCGUAGCUAACGCAUUAAGCGCCCCGCCUGGGGAGUACGGCCGCAAGGCUAAAACUCAAAGGAAUUGACGGGGGCCCGCACAAGCGGCGGAGCAUGUUGCUUAAUUCGACGCAACGCGAAGAACCUUACCAAAGGUUUGACAUCACCCGUGGACCUGCAGAGAUGUGGGGUCAUUUAGUUGGUGGGUGACAGGUGGUGCAUGGCUGUCGUCAGCUCGUGUCGUGAGAUGUUGGGUUUAAGUCCCGCAACGAGCGCAACUCUAUUUCCAUGUGGCAAGCACCGUAAUGGUGGGACUCAUGGGAGACUGCUGGUCACCUCCGAAGACGUGGGGACGACGUCCAGUCAUCAUGCCCUUAUGGCUUGGCUGCAACCUGCCUACAUUGUCGUUACAUUGGGCGUGGCAAUCCGUAAGGUGGACGCUAUCCUUAUAGUCGCUUCUCGGUUCGGAAUGUGUGCCG